rnacentral:tRNA from 1 species
AGCGGGCUAUUUUAACUAAAAUAUUUGAUUUCGGCUCAAAAGCUCGCGGUUAGAUUCCGUGGCCCUCUG